UCGGGAAUUUUGGGCAAUGGGCGAAAGCCUGACCCAGCAACGCCGCGUGAGGGAUGAAGUAUUUCGGUAUGUAAACCUCGAAAGAAUGGGAAGAAUAAAUGACGGUACCAUUUAUAAGCUCCGGCUAACUACGUGCCAGCAGCCGCGGUAAUACGUAGGGAGCAAGCGUUGUUCGGAUUUACUGGGCGUAAAGGGCGCGUAGGCGGCGCGGUAAGUCACUUGUGAAAUCUCUGAGCUUAACUCAGAACGGCCAAGUGAUACUGCGGUGCUAGAGUGCGGAAGAGGCAACCGGAAUUCUUGGUGUAGCGGUGAAAUGCGUAGAUAUGCGGAGGAACACCGAUGGCGAAGGCAACUCCCUGGGCCUGCACUGACGCUCAUGCACGAAAGCGUGGGGAGCAAACA
rnacentral:rRNA from 1 species